rnacentral:rRNA from 1 species
UACGUAGGGGGCUAGCGUUGUCCGGAAUCAUUGGGCGUAAAGCGCGUGUAGGCGGCCCGGUAAGUCCGCUGUGAAAGUCGGGGGCUCAACCCUCGGAUGCCGGUGGAUACUGUCGGGCUAGAGUACGGAAGAGGCGAGUGGAAUUCCUGGUGUAGCGGUGAAAUGCGCAGAUAUCAGGAGGAACACCAAUUGCGAAGGCAGCUCGCUGGGACGUCACUGACGCUGAGGCGCGAAAGCUAGGGUAGCAAACGGG